UGUGUGAGGACUUUCUGCUGCUGAGAGUCGACUGGUUACAUUGUGCCAUUGAGAGGAAACAGGAGCAGCGAGUGGAUGACUUCACGGUGCCGUCCACUGCGUCCAGACAGAGUGUUGUAAGAUAAUACGAAGCACCAGUCAGAGGAGGUGCUGGGGGAACCGGAGGCAGUUUCCAGGAGCUUCCCAUUCCCCAGAGGUCAGAGGAUCUGUGAUGGAGGACAGUCUGCACCCUGGCGACCAGGUUCUCCCGGGCUCGGCUGAUUUCCAGAGGCGAGAGGCAGCAGGCCAAAGAAGAGUCUUCUCCUCCCUGCUCCUUCUUUGUCAUGGGGUUUGUAAAUAAAGUUGUGUUUUGAC